AAUUUUGGACAAUGGGGGAAACCCUGAUCCAGCCAUCCCGCGUGUAUGAUGAAGGCCUUCGGGUUGUAAAGUACUGUUGUCAGAGAAGAAAAGGUACCUCCUAAUACGAGGUACUGCUGACGGUAUGUGCAGAACAAGCACCGGCUAACUACGUUCCAGCAGCCUCGGUAAUACGUAGGGUGCAAGCGUUAAUCGGAAUUACUGGGCUUAAAGCGUGUGUAGGCGGUUCGGAAAGAAAGAUGUGAAAGCCCAGGGCUCAACCUUGGAACUGCAUUUUUAACUGCCGAGCUAGAGUAUGUCAGAGGGGGGUAGAAUUCCACGUGUAGCAGUGAAAUGCGUAGAUAUGUGGAGGAAUACCGAUGGCGAAGGCAGCCCCCUGGGAUAAUACUGACGCUCAGACACGAAAGCGUGGGGAGCAAACAG
rnacentral:rRNA from 1 species